CCUACGGGAGGCAGCAGUGAGGAAUAUUGGUCAAUGGACGAGCGUCUGAACCAGCCAAGUAGCGUGAAGGAUGACUGCCCUAUGGGUUGUAAACUUCUUUUAUAAAGGAAUAAAACGAGGCACGUGUGCCUUUUUGCAUGUACUUUAUGAAUAAGGAUCGGCUAACUCCGUGCCAGCAGCCGCGGUAAUACGGAGGCUCCGAGCGUUAUCCGGAUUUAUUGGGUUUAAAGGGAGCGUAGAUGGGUUGUUAAGUCAGUUGUGAAAGUUUGCGGCUCAACCGUAAAAUUGCAAUUGAUACUGGCAGUCGUGAGUACAGUUGAGGUAGGCGGAAUUCGUGGUGUAGCGGUGAAAUGCUUAGAUAUCACGAAGAACCCCGAUUGCGAAGGCAGCUUACUAAACUGUGACUGACAUUGAUGCUCGAAAGUGUGGGUAUCAAACAGGAUUAGAUACCCGGUAGUC
rnacentral:rRNA from 1 species